GGAGUGACUGUCCGCUAAGGUAUAAUAGGACAAGUUGCUACACUCACAUAUGUUGUUUUUAAGAUAUACCUGGUUUAACAAACCGGAUACAAGAGAAACCAAGAAGCUGGCAAAUCAGUUUCAGGUUGAACGAGAAAGCCAGUCCUAUAGCUCAGUUGGUUAGAGCGCUACACUGAUAAUGUAGAGGUCGGCAGUUCAAAUCUGCCUGGGACUACGAUUGAACAGUUCUCAGUAUUCAGUCCACAGUUAGAGUACAAGCCACCGGGCUUGUUAACUGUCAACUGUUCACUGUAGACUGCAAGAAAAUCGGGGGAUUAGCUCAGCUGGCUAGAGCACCUGCCUUGCACGCAGGGGGUCAACGGUUCGAAUCCGUUAUUCUCCACAGUGUCUUCGACAGAGGUUAUAGAAGUAUAACAAAAUGCUGUCCACAGACAAGAAGAUCUUUGACAUGAUGUAACAAAAGAGCAAGUAAAGAAAGAUUAUAGCAAUAUAAUCUAUCAAACCCUGCUAUCAAUAACUUCGGUUAUUGGUAGAUAGAAAAAGAAAGUAAAUAAGGGCA
rnacentral:tRNA from 1 species